rnacentral:misc_RNA from 1 species
AAAACGCUUUUCACUUUCAGCAAGCGCCACCAUCCUCCGCCGCUCUCCGCCGAUCGCCGUCGCCGUCGCCGCCGCCGAUUCUGUAUUUGACCUCCGAAACCCUAGAAGUUUCACAUCGUAGAUAGAUUCUUCUAGAAGAAAAUGUGGAGGAGACUCUCUUCUCAGCUCCGAGCUCUAACUCCAUCCCAAUCUCCUCCGAAAUGCAACCUUUUCGUAACAGGUUCUGUUUCAUCUUCGUCUCUGACCUCGGAGAUUUUUCGUCCAUCCGUGGCUCUGUAUAAUCGACAUUUAAGCUCUGAAUUUGGCAAUGCUUCUAAGGAGGAUGAAGUCGAGCAUGGAAACUUAUUCAAAACUAGAUUGAAUAACAUACAUGCUUCACUAACAUCGCCUUACAAGGGUUAUACAUCAUGUUUAUCGCAACACAAUGCCGCGGUCCCAAGUUUCCCUAGAAGGUUCAUUACAACAGGUGCUACUUCAGUUAACAUGGUAUCUGAAGAUGCUUCUGCUUUGGCAACUCCACGAAUCAAAUUUAAGAGGCUGGAUAAAACAGCAAAACAUAUAAUGCAGAUUCUUGAUAAGGAAGCUGUUGAAGAAGUAAGGGCGCAGAAUGAGAUUCCUGAUAUAAAGCCUGGUUAUAUUAUCCAGCUCAAAUUGGAAGUGCCAGAGAACAAGAGACGUGUUUCAACUAUCAAAGGCAUAGUGAUAGCAAGGCGCAAUGCUGGUUUAAAUACUACAUUCAGAUUAAGAAGACUUGUGGCUGGAGUUGGGGUUGAAAACCUAUUUCAUCUGUACUCUCCCAACCUAAAGGAGAUAAAAGUGUUGGACAAGAAAAGAGUGAGGAGGGCCAAGCUAUACUAUCUCAGGGACAAAAUGAAUGCCCUGAAAAAACACUAACAAGCUAGCUCAUGUGGAAGGGUCGAGCCUAUCAUUUCAAUGUUGUUUCGCCAAAUGUAGAAGACUGCAGCAGAAAAGAAUCUUAUUGUUCCAAUUCUGGUAACAGGUUUUACUUAUAUCUGUUGAUCAAUAUGUAUCAGCAACAUGCUUUUCCUUUUCGAGAUUUUGCAGGUAACUUUUAGUAUGUCGCAAGCAGGUCUUGCCAUAGAAUUAGCAUAUCUCUUUUUGUUAGAUUCUACGAUACUCAUAAACUAAGAGUUGUUUUAGA